rnacentral:tRNA from 1 species
UUUUAUUUUCAUUUAGAAUUUUAAGUUAUUUAAACUAAAAGCCUUCAAAGCUUUCUAAAAAAGUCUUAAUCUUUUAAAUUCUA